rnacentral:lncRNA from 1 species
CCCAAUCAUCCUCCCUCACUCUCAUCGACCAGAUGUCCCCACAGGGCAUCUCGAGCAUGCUAAGUAUGAGGAUGAUCAAAAAACGACGUGGCACAUACCCUCCUCAGUACCGCCUCGCCCAGUCCACCGAGGAGGAGGACCUAAAGGACAUUCCUGAUGAUGUCCCUCAAUGCCACGAAGAUCUACCGACUCAGUCACCACCCCCCUCGUCCAGUUCAUACGGCGGCU